rnacentral:lncRNA from 1 species
AUGUUUUUACAUAUUAAUAGUUCUGUACAGGGCACACUGGUGCUGCAGACACUGAAUGUUUUUACAGCACUGAAUGUUUUUACAUUAAUUUUCUGUACAGGGCACCCAAAAUCCAAACCUUGUGGUUUUCAGACAAACAUUUUCUUUAUUUUUAAAAAAGGCCAAAAGGUAUUAAUUAAAAAAAGAAAAUAAAAAAAAGAAAAAAAGAAAAAGAAAACACCAGGUUUGCUGUACUUGUAGGGCUGCACAAUUUGGCCAAAAAUUUAUAUAUCAAUAAAACUAAUAAUGAUUAUGGUUAUUGUUUCUCGCACAGAAACUCCACAAGUGAGACUUCCAAGAAAUUCAGCUUUCGCUGUAGAUGUAGCCUAGUAACUGAAUAACAUGCAGAUAUACAUUUUACUGAUGAAACAUGAUGAAAAUAAACAAUGACUGUGACAAUAUAUGGUUUUAUCCCUGCUCUUCUAGCCAUCUUGCAUAUUUUUAUAAGAAUAAAGUUUAAAAUGCAAUCCUUAUCGAUAUAGUCUUUAUCACUGUAUUGAAUAAUAUAAAGUGGCAUGAUUUCUGCCUCAUUCUGUUCAUUGAAACCAUGUCAGAUUACAAUAAUACAUUAUUUCAAAGACUCAACUGAUGUUGUGAAGUGAAUUUGGACUUAAACAUAUCAUUAUACUGUCAUAUAUAUAUGGACAACAGGUUUGUAAUCUUUACUUGUGUUUUCAUGGUAACCAAUAAGCAAUAUCUAGGCUAACAUACAAAGCCAGUAAGCCUUACUUAACAAUCAAAUUCAUUCUGCGUAUUGUAUUACCAUGUGGACUCUGAUUGGACUGAGGAGAGGUACUCAUGUUUAUGUAAUAAUCUAUUUAAAUGAAGAUAUCUCCAAAUACAUUCUCACUAGUUCUUUAUGAGGUUGAAGAUACCUCCAAACGAACAGGGACUCGUAGUUAUUCUGUUUUUUAUAUCAUCUUUUAAUUUCUGACUAGUAAUUAUUGCAAUAGUAACAAGUAUCUAUUUAAAUAUUACUAGUAAGCAUUCAUUAGAUACUAGUACUUAUUUUUAGAUACUGGUACUUAUUCAUUACAUACUAGUACUUAUUUAACAUAUAUUAGUAGUUAUUCAUUAGGUACUAGUUAUUAUUUAUUAGACACUAGUAUCUUUUGUAAUUACUACUUGUAACUAUUCUUAUCUUACUAGUCAGAUCUGCUUUUUUACUCGUCUUAUGUUAUGACUAGUCCAAAUGGCUACAGUAGAGUUCAAUUAAAAAAUGUACUAGUAAAAUAAAAAUCAUACUAGUAACAUUUCAAAUAAGUACUAGUAUCUAUUAAAUAGGUACUAGUAUCUAAUGAAUGAGUACUGGUUUUUAAUAAAUAAGCACUAGUUCCUAAAGAAUAAGUACUAGUAUCUAAUAAAUAAGUAUUAGUAUCUAACAAUAAGUACUAGUAUCUAAUGAAUAAGUACUAGUGUCUAUUUAAUAGGUACUAGUAUCUAAUGAAUAAGUACUAGUAUCUAAAAAAUACAUACUAGUACCCAAGAAAUACUAAUAGUACAUAAAAAUGAAGUACUAGUCACUAGUGGAAUACA